rnacentral:rRNA from 1 species
UACGUAGGGUGCGAGCGUUACUCGGAAUUACUGGGCGUAAAGCGUGCGCAGGCGGUUUUGUAAGCCCGAUGUGAAAUCCCCGGGCUUAACCUGGGAAUGGCAUUUGGGACUGCAAGGCUGGAGUGUGGCAGAGGAGACUGGAAUUCCUGGUGUAGCAGUGAAAUGCGUAGAUAUCAGGAGGAACACCGAUGGCGAAGGCAGGUCUCUGGGCCACUACUGACGCUGAGAAGCGAAAGCGUGGGGAGCGAACAGG